CUGACUAACAGACAGAUUGAUACAGAUGGAGUCCCCUGACUAACAGACAGGGUAAUACAGAUGGAGUCCCCUGACUAACAGGUUGAUACAGAUGGAGUUCCCUGACUCACUAACAGACAGAUUGAUACAGAUGGAGUCCCCUGACUAACAGACAGGUUGAUACAGAUGGAGUCUACUGACUAACAUACAGGUUGAUACAGAUGGAGACUACUGACUAACAGACAGGUUGAUACAGAUGGAGUCCCCUGACUGACAGGUUGAUACAGAUGGAGUUCCCUGACUCACUAACAGACAGAUUGAUACAGAUGGAGUCCCCUGACUAACAGACAGGUUGAUACAGAUGGAGUCCCCUGACUCACUAACAGACAGAUUGAUACAGAUUGAUACUGACUAACAUACAAAUUGAUACAGAUGGAGUCCCCUGACUAACAGACAGGUUGAUACAGAUGGAGUCCCCUGACUAACAGACAGGUUGAUACAGAUGGAGUCUACUGACUAACAGACAGGUUGAUAGUCAGGAUUCUCCAUCUGUAACAGGUUUCUACAGAUGGAGUCCCCUGACUAACAGGUUGAUACAGGAGAGAGUUUGUCAUGGAGUCCCCUGACUGACUAACAGACAGGUUGAUACAGAUGGAGUCCCCUGACUGACUAACAGACAGGUUGAUACAGAUGGAGUCCCCUGACUAACAGACAGGUUGAUACAGAUGGAGUCCCCUGACUAACAGACAGGUUGAUACAGAUGGAGUCUACUGACUAACAGACAGGUUGAUACAGAUGGAGUCUACUGACUAACAGACAGGUUGAUACAGAUGGAGUCUACUGACUAACAGACAGGUUGAUACAGGAUACAUGGUUUGUCAUGGAGUCCCCUGAAACAGAUGUCUGAACUAGAGACCUUGCUCUCAGCAUUACAAUGAUACUAGUACUUGUCAUCAUCUUCUGUUAUUAUUG
ensembl:lncRNA